rnacentral:rRNA from 1 species
GGCCUUGACAUACUAAGAACUUUCCAGAGAUGGAUUGGUGCCUUCGGGAACUUAGAUACAGGUGCUGCAUGGCUGUCGUCAGCUCGUGUCGUGAGAUGUUGGGUUAAGUCCGCAACGAGCGCAACCCUUUUCCUAUUUGCCAGCGGGUAAUGCCGGGAACUUUAAGGAUACUGCCAGUGACAAACUGGAGGAAGGCGGGGACGACGUCAAGUCAUCAUGGCCCUUACGGCCAGGGCUACACACGUGCUACAAUGGUCGGUACAAAGGGUUGCUACCUCGCUAGAGGAUGCUAAUCUCAAAAAGCCGAUCGUAGUCCGGAUCGCAGUCUGCAACUCGACUGCGUGAAGUCGGAAUCGCUAGUAAUCGCGGAUCAGAAUGCCGCGGUGAAUACGUUCCCGGGCCUUGUACACACCGCCCGUCACACCAUGGGAGUUUGUUGCACCAGAAGUAGGUAGUCUAACCGCAAGGAGGACGCUUACCACGGUGUGGCCGAUGACUGGGGUGAAGUCGUAACAAGGUAGGCGUAGAUGA